ensembl:lncRNA
GGGUGUUAGAGGUGGUGUUGGUGUGAAGGUUGUAGGAGGUGAUGAAGGUGAGGGUGUUAGAGGUGGUGUUGGUGUGAAGGUUGUAGGAGGUGAUGAAGGUGAGGGUGUUAGAGGUGGUGUUGGUGUGAAGGUUGUAGGAGGUGAUGAAGGUGAGGGUGUUAGAGGUGGUGUUGGUGUGAAGGUUGUAGGAGGUGAUGAAGGUGAGGGUGUUAGCGGUGGUGUUGGUGUGAAGGUUGUCGGAGGUGAUGAAGGUGAGGGUGUUAGAGGUGGUGUUGGUGUGAAGGUUGUAGGAGGUGAUGAAGGUGAGGGUGUUAGAGGUGGUGUUGGUGUGAAGGUUGUAGGAGGUGAUGAAGGUGAGGGUGUUAGAGGUGGUGUUGGUGUGAAGGUUGUAGGAGGUGAUGAAGGUGAG